CGGUCCAGGCAAAGGGACCAGGAUUUGUCAAUGCACCGCAGAAAGAAGAGCGUCCUCAUCCUGCGACAGGCCCCGAGGCUCUGCCUGGCUUUCCUGUGGCACCUCCGCUCCGUCCUGUUUGCCUUGGACAAGGGCCCUGAGCUGGGAACAAGGAGGGACAUGGAGGAAGGACAUAGCCCUGAACCCUAAUCUCUCAGCAAAGAUCUCCGCCAUACUGCUUCCCCAGUCAGGAGUCUGGUGACUGAAGACCUGUGAGACCCACCUGAACCUGCGUCUGUUCUUCUGUCCAGCCCAGGGUCAUCUUGGGCUAACUUCUCAGGGGCAUUGUCAAGAAGGGGAGGCCAGACUUCCACCUGUGUACUCCAGGGUAUAAAUUGAGGACUCAGGAGGCAGAGCCAGGUGGGAAGCCAGCUAGCAAUCAUUUAUCUCACUUAACCACACCCUGCCCAUUGUGCAGAUGGAAAAACUAAGGUGCAGAUUGUAAGACAAAAGAGGCAGAGGCAAACCAGAACCAGAUCUCCAGACCCUGAGCCUUCUGCUCCGUCCUUUCCUCAGCCUCUCAAUGCACGCGGAUGUCUGCCAUCUGCAGGGGACAGGGCCUGCCAUAGGAACCUGGGGGUGGGGGUGGGGGGGACUGGCAGGAGUGUCACAUCUCAUGUUUAGUCUUUGGUGGCCAGGGACUGGCAGGUGCUGUCUCUUGUCUCGGAUCCUGGAAAUGGGCCUCCUGGCAGCCGUGGAGAUUAAGGUCCCUCCCAGGCCCCGUCACGCUUCACCGGAGGCUGACACUUCCCUGGCUCCCAGCUCCAAAAACAUCAACGAAAUGGGACCCAACAGAACAGGUCCUGUUUGGUUGUAGGACCAAGUCCGCGCCUUGCAGGUUCCACUGUUGCUUGGAACUCAGGGAACGCACAUCUGGAAAACUCGGGGUGCUGAGCCCCCUUUGACAGGAUUUAGACAACCUAGGCUUUGCGGGCGGGCUGCUUUGGGGGGUGUGAGGAAGUGGGGCUUCGCUCUGGGUCAGGUGUCAUAGCAGAGCAGAGGUGACUCCCACUGCGGAUCUCAGAGAUUGUUUUUUUCUAUCUAAAAGGAAGAGCCAUGAAGGGAAGCUGAAGGCACUGUCACCUGUCCAGCCAGGAUAGGGGAUGUUGAAUUCUCCUGUGCUUUAUGAGUGCGUUCUUUUAUGAAUUUGCGUUCAGACGUGACGGGGCAGAGUCUUGGUGCAUUAUGGUCCUACCGUGGCUUUGUUGGACUUGCCAGUCUUCAGCAUUGCUUCUGGGUACCGGGGAAGGCAUCCGGGAAGGGACCUCAGGAGGACCCUCCUGCCAGUUUUCCAUUCGAAAGCAGAGCCAGCGGCCUUACACUGACUGCUAGAGAGGAGCAGGUCCCAGCCAGGUAAACAGGCUUGCUCUGUGGCUUCAAAGGAAGGUGGAGCUGAGUUCAGAUCUCGAGGUUCUCCCUCAGAGGAGGCUUGCACCCCAACAUGCCUUGCAUCUUUAUUCUUUCCUAAACAUCGAAGGGACACUUGUUUUAUGCCAAGACCCAAGUGCCUCAGGCCAGUGCCUUAAUUCUCAGUGCUCAGUUUGUCUCUCUGGGAAAUGGGUCCAAUGUUAGUACCUGAGCGCCCAUUGCCUUGCCCUGAAUGGCUGUGGUUGGACACUGGGUGUCAAGUGUGGAGUCGUGCUGGUCUGUACCAUCAUAGACCUUAUUACAGAGAGUCAAGGAGGGGAUGACUCAGGAGAACACGUCUUGUUCCUCCUGGUCCUAGGCUAGAGACCAGAGACCCCAGUGGUUCCCCACACAGCCUGGGCUGCAUAGAUCAGGAUCUGGGGAUUCCAGGGUUCUGGCCCCUCUGGUCUAUACUACCCCUUAACUCCCCCAAAGACUGUACCAGGGACAUAGCUGGGGGGGGGGCAUCUCUUGAAAUUGCCCUGGCUAGCCCCUGGUACCAUUCAGGCCCAGGACUGACUACCCCAGAAGGGAGCCUGCUGUUUCAAACCCGAACCCCACCUCUGCAUGCCAUGGGGCCCUGCCGACCCGAUGCCUUGUGGUUCUCCAGGCUCUCUAAACACAGCCCAGGGAGCUGCUGGGGCCCAGAGGCAGAGAGGGCACAGGCUGUGGGGGCGGAGGAGGGCAUGUGCUAUCCUGCCUUCUGCAUGCAUGGAGGAGGGGGUGGUUACAGGACAGCGUGAGACCGGCGUAGAAGGGAGUUUGUUUAUCUGUUGGGGAUGGCAGAGGCAGCGCCCAUGACAGGGGCCUGCAUGAUGUGGGCAGGGAGGGUACUCAUUGUGCCCCUGAAUGGGUAGGUGUGGACGUGUGUGGGGGCGGCCACUCCAGCAGGAGGGUGGGGGCCUGUACUUAGUGCGUGAGCCGAGCUCCAGCCUUGGUAGACAGGCCUAGGUUCAGAGUUCACAUUGGCCUGGGUCUUUUUCUGUUUGAGCUCUUUCCUGGCUGUGUGAUCUUGGCCAGGUGACUUACCCUCUCUGAGCCUCAUUCACCUGCUCCAUGACUGGGUCUAGGCAUAUAGCUCAGCACUUGCUGCUCUUCCAGAGGACCCACAUCAGAAGGCUCACAACUGUCUGCAACUCCAGCUUCAGGGAUCCAACUGCCACUCUGCCACUGGCCUCUGUGUACAAAUGUGGCAACACACACACACACACACACANACACACACACACACACACACAUGCACUCAUGCAUGCUCACACAAGUGUGCUCACACACACACAAAUUUUUAAAAAUACGUAAUUAAAAAAAAAAACCCAAAGU
rnacentral:lncRNA from 1 species